rnacentral:rRNA from 1 species
UACGAAGGGGGCUAGCGUUGCUCGGAAUGACUGGGCGUAAAGGGCGCGUAGGCGGCUUGCACAGUCAGGCGUGAAAUUCCUGGGCUCAACCUGGGGACUGCGCUUGAGACGUGUGGGCUUGAGUGGGGAAGAGGGUCGUGGAAUUCCCAGUGUAGAGGUGAAAUUCGUAGAUAUUGGGAAGAACACCGGUGGCGAAGGCGGGUCUCUGGGCCAUUACUGACGCUGAGGAGCGAAAGCGUGGGGAGCGAACAGG